rnacentral:rRNA from 1 species
GAGACCGGCGCACGGGUGCGUAACGCGUAUGCAAUCUACCUUUCACAAAGGGAUAGCCCAGAGAAAUUUGGAUUAAUACCUUAUAGUAUAGCGACUUCGCAUGGAGAUGCUAUUAAAGAUUUAUCGGUGAAAGAUGAGCAUGCGUCCCAUUAGCUAGUUGGUAAGGUAACGGCUUACCAAGGCUACGAUGGGUAGGGGUCCUGAGAGGGAGAUCCCCCACACUGGUACUGAGACACGGACCAGACUCCUACGGGAGGCAGCAGUGAGGAAUAUUGGUCAAUGGGCGCAAGCCUGAACCAGCCAUGCCGCGUGCAGGAUGACGGUCCUAUGGAUUGUAAACUGCUUUUGUACAGGAAGAAACACUCCCUCGUGAGGGAGCUUGACGGUACUGUAAGAAUAAGGAUCGGCUAACUCCGUGCCAGCAGCCGCGGUAAUACGGAGGAUCCAAGCGUUAUCCGGAAUCAUUGGGUUUAAAGGGUCCGUAGGCGGCUUAAUAAGUCAGUGGUGAAAGCCCUACGCUUAACGUAGGAACGGCCAUUGAUACUGUUAGGCUUGAAUUAUUAGGAAGUAACUAGAAUAUGUAGUGUAGCGGUGAAAUGCUUAGAGAUUACAUGGAAUACCAAUUGCGAAGGCAGGUUACUACUAAUGGAUUGACGCUGAUGGACGAAAGCGUGGGUAGCGAACAGGAUUAGAUACCCUGGUAGUCCACGCCGUAAACGAUGGAUACUAGCUGUUGGAAGCAAUUUCAGUGGCUAAGCGAAAGUGAUAAGUAUCCCACCUGGGGAGUACGUUCGCAAGAAUGAAACUCAAAGGAAUUGACGGGGGCCCGCACAAGCGGUGGAGCAUGUGGUCUAAUUCGAUGAU